CUGCGGAAGGAUCAUUAG
rnacentral:rRNA from 2 species